rnacentral:rRNA from 1 species
CAAAUGAAUUGACGGACCCGCACAAGCAGCGGAGCGUGUGGUUUAAUUCGAGGCUACACGAAGAACUUACCAGGGUUUGACAUGCAAGUGGUAGGAAUCCGAAAGGUGACCGACCCUUCGGGAGCUUGCACAGGUGCUGCAUGGCUGUCGUCAGCUCGUGUCGUGAGAUGUUCGGUUAAGUCCGCUAACGAGCGCAACCCUCGUCGUGUGUUAUACGUGUCACACGAUACUGCCGGUAUCAAGCCGGAGGAAGGUGGGGAUGAUGUCAAGUCAGCAUGGCCUUUAUAUCCUGGGCUACACACACGCUACAAUGGUCGGUACAAUAGGUUGCCAAGCCGCGAGGCGGAGCCAAUCCAAAAAAAGACCGGCCUCAGUUCAGAUUGCAGUCUGCAACUCGACUGCAUGAAGCCGGAGUUGCUAGUAACCGCAGGUCAGCAAUACUGCGGUGAAUACGUUCCCGGGUCUU